AGAAGAGAACGCUGUCUGUGCUAUCAGAAUCUUAGUGCACUGUAGAGAAACCAAGUGCUUUCGGAAGCCUUCUGACUAUAACUGAAGCAGAGAAUGGAAUGAUGGAGCUCAACGACUCUGCAGCCACUUCCAGAGGAGAGAGCUGUUCUCAAUAAAACCACAACCUAGAAUCAUCUGACUAGUAAUGGCAAAGACCACACACCAGAAGUCUGUCCCAAGUUACAGCCUGCAGCACACUAUUGACAUCCAAAUAAUAACCACUCAUCAGGCAAUAAAAUAUGGUACUUCCAAUAGAGUACACACUCAGUUGUGUAUCCGCUGUGUGGCACUGACUGUAGAAUAGACAAGAAGCCUAAUAAAAGCUCCUGGUAAUCUA